UUGUUCGCAUCGUCACGUUGUCUUUUAAGGGAGCCGGAUUUAGCAGUGCUUGACAGUUCUUUAGCGUUUUGGGCAGCAUUCUUUGAAGUAGCAAUUCGUUUGGAAGCUCCAGUUAUUGAGAGUUUUCCACUGUCUGGUUUCAUAGGAACAGGACGCGAAACAGCGGGUCGUUGAACACCUUUUUGUUUGCCUGUUCCUUGAAGUCUUGCACUCAGAGAUUUACCGGAAGGUUCUCUCUUGGCUGACGAAGCUUCUGUAGCAUUCUGACCAACAUCAGCUUUGCUAGCUGUUGGUUUGGAAGUAACAGGCUUUGUUUCUGUUACAGAAGACGUAGAUUCAUCAG